rnacentral:antisense_RNA from 1 species
UGAGGCGCCUGGUCCUGGGGACCUCUUUCCACUCUUUACUCUCAAGAUAGGAGGAUGGGUCUGGGGGAUUGUUUUUGGUUUUCUGGUUUUGUUUUACUCUGGUUUGGUCGGUUUUGUAUUUUUCUAUUUUUCCUUUUUUUCCCUUUUUUCUUUUUUGAUUUUUCUUUCCCGUUAUUCUCCCAGCCAAAAGCUACCUUCGACCCUUUUGAUUUGAUGUAGCAAAGAGUGUGUGUCCAGAUUAUCUGAAAUUGACACUGAAGAAGCCGGUCUUCAACAUCCUUUUGGUUCCUGAGCGUCAGCCCUGCCCUGAUGCACCUGUUCCUGAGCCCCCUUCCUGGGGAACCCUCGCCAGGCAUUCUCUCCUUACCCUUCCAAUUCAGAGAUCUUGACCUGCAAGAGCGGACAACAACGUGACUCAGGCUGGGACCACUGAGCCUACCUAGGUCACAGGGAGGAAAAAAGGGACCGCAGAACAGCAGAGAUAGGACCUCCCAACCCUGCGCCAGCUGGCAGCUCCCUGCCAGAGAAGCAGAGACAUCCCUCCUUCCUCCCUUCCCCCAUAAGAGCCAAAGGCUCGAAGGCCGAACCUCCCGCCGCCGUCAGCCCACGGGGGCAGCUCUCAGAGAGCCAGGGAGGAGUUGUGAUGAGGGGA